rnacentral:rRNA from 1 species
GAUCCUGGCUCAGGAUGAACGCUGGCGGCGUGCCUAACACAUGCAAGUCGAACGAAGCACAUACGAUGGAACUCUUCGGAGGGAAGAUGUAUGUGACUGAGUGGCGGACGGGUGAGUAACGCGUGGGUAACCUGCCCUAUACAGGGGGACAACAGUUGGAAACGACUGCUAAUACCGCAUAAGCGCACAGUACCGCAUGGUACAGAGCGAAAAACUCCGGUGGUAUAGGAUGGGCCCGCG